rnacentral:rRNA from 1 species
UACGGUGGGUGCAAGCGUUAUCCGGAAUUACUGGGAUUAAAGGGUGCGUAGGCGGCUUCAUUAGUCAGGGGUGAAAGCCUAUUGCUUAACGAUAGAAUUGCCAUUGAUACUGUAAAGCUUGAAAGGGGUUGAGGUCAGCAGAAUGUGGCAUGUAGCGGUGAAAUGCAUAGUUAUGCCAUAGAACACCGAUUGCGAAGGCAGCUGGCUGGGCCUACUGUGACGAUGACGCACGAAAGCGUGGGGAGCGAACAGG